ACGGAGGGGGCAAGCGUUGUUCGGAUUUACUGGGCGUAAAGGGUGUGUAGGCGGCCAUGCAAGUCUGGUGUGAAAUCUUCACCGCUCACCGGGAAGGAGUCACUGGAUACUGCAUGGCUCGAGUAUGGUAGAGGCGAGCGGAAUUCCAGGUGUAGCGGUGGAAUGUGUAGAUAUCUGGAAGAACACCGGUGGCGAAGGCGGCUCGCUGGGCCAUCACUGACGCUGAGACACGAAAGCGUGGGGAGCAAACGG
rnacentral:rRNA from 1 species